rnacentral:lncRNA from 1 species
AGUGACCGAUUCCUUAUUGACCACUCACAAUCUCCUUGCACAUUUCACCAUACCCAGAAUAUCCUACACACAUCUCAAAGCGGUAUGCUAGGAAAUAAACUAAAGUAAAGAUUCAUAUACAUAAGGUACCAUAGUGAUCUCAGGUCAAAAGAUCACAUGCACCACUUCCACUGGAGAAUCAUCUGUCAACAUGCUGUAAGGCUCCAUCAAAUAUUCUUCCUGCUGAUUAGUUCAGUGAACUCAUUCUCUAAUGAGUAUCUACAUCUUUGUAUUAGUCUCACCACACAA